GUAGCAAGUCAGGACUGUGAGCAGGAUGGCAGUACAGGUGCCCGCGGAAAUGCCCACUUUCAGCCAGAAGUCGAUGGUUUUGCAGAUGGUCACUCUCUGCUCGGGCAGAGAGAUGCCCCCGGCGCAGACCCUUGGCUCUCGCCACACAUAAGGCAAAAGAGGACCAGAGAAGACGAGACACGUGUCCAUGAUGAAACAGCUAGUACGUGGACGAGCUGAUUGAAGAGCGGCCCUCAGCACGAGCCGCUGGGUCCCAGGAUGCCACCAUAACGGUCUGGGAUGCAGAGGUGGCUGGGACUCUUUCUUCUGCCCCAUUCCUGCUAUUUGAAGACUGUGGGUCUGGGCCCAGGACUAUGCCCCCAAAGAGCCCAUUAAUGGAUCUCAAACUGUUUUCUCUUCCGCUGUUUUUCAGUAAACUCUUGCUCACGGGCUAGACUGAGUCCAGGGAAGGGGGACUCUGGCCUGUGUCACGUCCCCUGGUAGGGCUUACUUUGGCAGCGACAGAACUCCUGGGGCAGGCUUCAGCGGACUGCACCUGACGCGGAUGGUGGUCGCGCGCCCAGAGUUGCAGGACUGGGUCACAUCAUUGGACCU